GAGAAAGUGUCAGAGUGGCAACGAGGUUGGCUUGAAACCAUCUUACGGGGGUUCGAUUCCUUCCUUUCUCG
rnacentral:tRNA from 2 species